rnacentral:lncRNA from 1 species
AAAAUAAAAACUGUAAAUAUCACUACGGAGUCUUUAGGCGUCCCCUUCGCCGUCUUCCUGCGGAACGGGCUCGGAAACAAUGUCUUCCUGAUCUGAAAUGGUUAAAUAAGGAAUGAGCUACACCAGCCCAGUAAAGACAUCACACUAUCUCACCGUCAUGGAUGUAAAGGUGGGUAGAAAACACAAAAAGACCAAUGGAGCAUAAUUUACAACAAAUUCUUUUAUCAAUAAUAAAAUCCUUUACUAUCCAUUUACCUCGGUGAAAUUCAUAAAACAACAUACGAAAGCAAUAACAUUAUCAUCAUCAUGAAAUCAUAUGAACUGUAUAACAU